rnacentral:rRNA from 1 species
CCUACGGGAGGCAGCAGUGAGGAAUAUUGGUCAAUGGGCGCGAGUCUGAACCAGCCAAGUAGCGUGAAGGAUGACUGCCCUACGGGUUGUAAACUUCUUUUAUAAAGGAAUAAAGUGAGGCACGUGUGCCUCUUUGUAUGUAUUUUAUCAAUAAGGAUAGGCUCACUUCGUGCCAGCAGCCGCGGUAAUACGGAGGAUCCGAGCGUUAUCCGGAUUUUUUUGGUUUAAAGGGAGCGUAGAUGGGUUGUUAAGUCAGUUGUGAAAGUUUGCGGCUCAACCGUAGAAUUGCAAUUGAUACUGGCAGCCUUGAGUACAGUUGAGGUAGACGGAAUUCGUGGUGUAGCGGUGAAAUGCUUAGAUAUCACGAAGAACUCCGAUUGCGAAGGCAGCUGACUAGACUGCCACUGACAUUGAUGCUCGAAAGUGUGGGUAUCAAACAGGAUUAGAUACCCCUGUAGUC